rnacentral:rRNA from 1 species
CCUUGAAAUACCACCCUUUAAUGUUUGAUGUUCUAACGUGGACCCGUGAUCCGGGUUGCGGACAGUGUCUGGUGGGUAGUUUGACUGGGGCGGUCUCCUCCUAAAGAGUAACGGAGGAGCACGAAGGUUGGCUAAUCCUGGUCGGACAUCAGGAGGUUAGUGCAAUGGCAUAAGCCAGCUUGACUGCGAGCGUGACGGCGCGAGCAGGUGCGAAAGCAGGUCAUAGUGAUCCGGUGGUUCUGAAUGGAAGGGCCAUCGCUCAACGGAUAAAAGGUACUCCGGGGAUAACAGGCUGAUACCGCCCAAGAGUUCAUAUCGACGGCGGUGUUUGGCACCUCGAUGUCGGCUCAUCACAUCCUGGGGCUGAAGUAGGUCCCAAGGGUAUGGCUGUUCGCCAUUUAAAGUGGUACGCGAGCUGGGUUUAGAACGUCGUGAGACAGUUCGGUCCCUAUCUGCCGUGGGCGCUGGAGAACUGAGGGGGGCUGCUCCUAGUACGAGAGGACCGGAGUGGACGCAUCACUGGUGUUCGGGUUGUCAUGCCAAUGGCACUGCCCGGUAGCUAAAUGCGGAAGAGAUAAGUGCUGAAAGCAUCUAAGCACGAAACUUGCCCCGAGAUGAGUUCUCCCUGACCCUUUAAGGGUCCUGAAGGAACGUUGAAGACGACGACGUUGAUAGGCCGGGUGUGUAAGCGCAGCGAUGCGUUGAGCUAACCGGUACUAAUGAACCGUGAGG